AAAAGGCUUCCUUAGCGACUGCCUAACUGUUUGGCCCACUGAUGAGGGUUAAACUUCUUUCGUGAAGUUGUUGGGUCGAAGAAAAUUAAUUCCAAAAUGUUGCAUGAACAAGCUGUAGAAGCAAAAGUUCCUGUGUGUUCCCAUCAGGGUGUUCCACACAAGUCAAAGCUUUCUGCCAAGGAGAGGAAACGCUCCCCUUUGUUUCCUAAGUGUUACACCCAGCCACUUGCUAAGUAACGCGUAUCCCUGUCCUUUGUUUUCUGUCUAUCCGUGGAUCCAUAGUCCAGGUCUAAAAUUUUGCCGUACGUCAGUCCGGAGAACACAGACAAGCUGUCUCUGGGCACUGUUAAUUAAGGAAAGAAGUCUUCAGAAAGUCCCCGCGCAUUACUGGGCCUGUGAUGAGAGGAUUUGAGGCACUUAGCAGUCUUACUGUAGAAGGCGGAUGAUUGAUUUGAGUUUGUUACGACACUGCACCUUGUUACAGGUGGGCACCCUCUGCAAGAACAGAGCAAGAGGAGACAAGUGUUUACCCUGAGAGCAGGACACUGGCUGGAAUUGAGGAAUGACUGGGACAAUCCAGCAGGGCCAACACUUUUACCACAGAUGCACCUUCCCAGAAGAGUAACAAUCCACGGUUUGCGGUUCCAGUGAAAAGCUGUCUGGGAAGUGCUGGAAAAAAAGGGGGCUCCUGCCGGGCACUCGGGCCUCGGCUGCCCCACGCCCACGGUCAGCUGUCACCUCUGGAAGUUUUAGACGCGUCACUGGCAGUUUCUAAAACUUUGAUGCAAAAGACGAUGCCUCGUCCCUCGCAGACUACUUGAGUGCCUCUGCGGUGGGAAGAUGACAUACCGCUUACUGCAGCUCGGCAGACACGGUAGCAGUUGGUAGACCUCCAGAAACAGCGCAAGUGGAGAGGAAGACCACCUCUUCCCAAACACAACUUACCAACCUUCUGUCAAAGCUGGAGAUGCCCUCCCUUCACCUGACUAGGCACUAGCAAAGGAGGGGCGGUGGACCCAAUACACAGGCUGCCCACAGCACCACGUCCUCUAACAAGCUCCUCUUUAAGGAACGAGUUCUCCUGGCUUCAUUGGGGCGGCUGCCACGCGAGACCAGGUUCACCAAGCUACUGCUUAAGGAUCUGACUUUUGACCAGUGGGGCUGAGGAGGGCAGGGCCGGAGCUCCGUCAUCCACGUGACUGCGUGGGCUCCUCACAAGAGACGUCGCCCCCCUCCCAGCACUGACCUGGCAGUGACAAAAUCGCAUGCUGUGCAGCAAAUGGAGAACAUCCACUGCUCUUUAUCCACAUGGAGGGACAUAUGACUGA